CUUAGAGAUAAGGCGUUCCCUUCGGGGACGCAAUGACAGGUGGUGCAUGGUCGUCGUCAGCUCGUGUCGUGAGAUGUUGGGUUAAGUCCCGCAACGAGCGCAACCCUUGUUACUAGUUGCCAGCAUUGAGUUGGGCACUCUAGUGAGACUGCCGGUGACAAACCGGAGGAAGGUGGGGACGACGUCAGAUCAUCAUGCCCCUUAUGACCUGGGCUACACACGUGCUACAAUGGACGGUACAACGAGUCGCAAACU
rnacentral:rRNA from 1 species